rnacentral:tRNA from 1 species
GCGGGGGUGCCCGAGCGGCCAAAGGGGUCGGGCUUAAGAAACCCGAUGGGUUAAGGCCCGCCAGGGGUUCAAAUCCCCUCCCCCGCA